rnacentral:ncRNA from 1 species
AAUCAGGGUAGUAGAGUGAUUCUACUAUCACGUGAUAGUAUGGUUUUUGAGUGAGAAGCUUGUUUGUGAUGCGUGUUAUAACUCAUAUUGUAUGAAGUUCCAAUGACCUUUAACAAACAGGUACCUAUUCCCAAAAUUGACACAGGUAGGUAGGUAGAGAAUACCUAGGGGCGUGAGACAACUCUUUCUAAGGAACUCGACAAAAUAGCCCCGUAACUUUGGGAGAAGGGGUGCCUCCUCAGGAGGUUGCAGUGACCAGGCCCGAGCGACUGUUUACCAAAAACACAGGUCUCUGCAAAGUUGUAAGACCAUGUAUGGGGGUUGAUGCCUGCCUAGUGCUGGAAGGUUAAGGAAAUUGGUGACCUGAUGAUAGGGAGUCCAACGAUCGAAGCCUCGAUGAACAACAUUUGUAACUACAACGGGCCUAAGGUAGCGAAAUUCCUUGUCAGGUAAGUACUGACCCGCAUGAAAGGCUUAAUGAUCUAGGCACUAUCUCGGAGAGAGACUCGGUGAAA